rnacentral:rRNA from 1 species
GACGAACGCUGGCGGCGUGCCUAAUACAUGCAAAUUGAGCGCUGAAGGUUGGUCCUUGUACCAACUGGAUGAGCAGCGAACGGGUGAGUAACGCGUGGGGAAUCUGCCUUUGAGCGGGGGACAACAUUUGGAAACGAAUGCUAAUACCGCAUAAAAACUUUAAACACAAGUUUUAAGUUUGAAAGAUGCAAUUGCAUCACUCAAAGAUGAUCCCGCGUUGUAUUAGCUAGUUGGUGAGGUAAAGGCUCACCAAGGCGAUGAUACAUGGCCGACCUGAGAGGGUGAUCGGCCACAUUGGGACUGAGACACGGCCCAAACUCCUACGGGAGGCAGCAGUAGGGAAUCUUCGGCAAUGGACGAAAGUCUGACCGAGCAACGCCGCGUGAGUGAAGAAGGUUUUCGGAUCGUAAAACUCUGUUGGUAGAGAAGAACGUUGGUGAGAGUGGAAAGCUCAUCAAGUGACGGUAACUACCCAGAAAGGGACGGCUAACUACGUG